GGGCAGUGGCUGGUGGUUGAGCCUUUCCGAGACCAGUUGUAUGAAUUCUGCACUGGUCUAGUGGAUGUAGUGCCAAAGCUUCUUUGCUGUGGUCUCAUAGCUCAUAGCCUGGUCGUCACUUGUGGGGGUAGGCGGAGGGCUCGACCGUGUGCGCUUGAAUAGGUGUUGGUUUCGCCGGACCCAGCAUUGUAUAGACCUGAAGGCCGCCAAUAAUGACUUUCAUAAUAAGGGUCUAGGUUUAGCAGACUUCUGGCCUCUGAUCAUCUGAGCGAGCCUUACCACGACAUGGUGUUCGUGUUAAGGCUUUUGAUCUAUUCUUAAGCUAGAUGGAGGCACGCGAACAAACUGUAAUAAGGGGCGAGUUCAUGUCAUUGAAAGAGCCACUAGUAACAGGAGUUCCGCAAGGAUCUGUAUUAGGGCCUUUAUUAAGCAUGAAAUGAUUUUAGCUCUUGUUGUCGGCAACCUUCAAUAGACCUUAGCCAAAAGACGGCUGUUAUCAGGCACUCAAACGAGAGCAUCCGGGCAACCACUCAAAAGUUAAGAAAAUUAGGUCUCUGGCCCCAACCUUUUGUACGGGACCGCAUAACAUAAUUUAGUUACUUCCUAAACAAGUUACAAGAAUAUUGCUUCCGAGUUCUUCCUAUUGUUUGUUCACAAUAUCACUGGAGCUGUAAAUUCUAGUGCGUUUUAUUUGUCAUUUCCAAUAGCGAUGUUCAAUUAUGUUCAAUUAUGUAUGCUGAUGAUACAUACAUUGUAUUAACAGCCAAAAAUCUUACAGAAUUGGAGGCAAAGUAUACGCUGAGCUAGACAGAAUUGGCAGAUGGUUUUCGACUAACAAGCUCAUUGUCGAUACUAGAAAAACAAAUUAUGUUGUGUUCCAUUCUCAAAAAAAAAAAUAAAAAAUCUGUAUAGCCACAGUGGAACUAUUAAUAACUGCCUUCUGGAGCCAACUAAUUCAUAAAGAUACCUUUGAGUAGUUUUUGAUAGGAAUAUGCACUGGCACGAGAUCAGGGCUGUUUGCACCAAAAUAGCAUGUGGAUGUUAUGCAUUGGUACAAACACGGAACAUUUUGAAAUCAAUAUAUUGCGCAUUGGUGUACUUUGCCUUAAUUUACAUCUACUUAUUACACUGUAUUGUAUACUGGCGAUGCACUUAUAAAAUUUAUAUUGAUCCGAUAAAAAUAUUUUUAAAACGCGCAGUUAGAAUAAUGACACAGUGUACCUUCACCGCUUGAAGCAAACA
rnacentral:lncRNA from 1 species